GUUGGAUUGGGGUAAACUGCGCAUCAAGAUGAAGAAAUGAUGGUUCACCAUUUCAAACCACGUUGGCUACUUCUCCUAUAUGAUAUUCUAUCUACCAUCUCUCUGCCUUACAUUUGGAAUGCCGUCUCCCCUGACCUCUGCUGCUCAGUACACCUCUCUUCCUUCAAAGCUCAGCCCAAGGGCUACAUCCUAUAGGAGGUUCCCUGAUCCCUCAGGUGUUAAUGUUUUCUAUUUCUUGAUAUCACUUUUGUAUCACUUCAAGUGUACUUUGAAAUUACUUAUGAAAUUCUUUGAAUGUUGGGAUUGUUUUCAUUUUUGUCUUUGCACUCCCAGCACUCACAUCAGUGAAUUGUAUGUACUUAAUAGGUGUUUAAUAUAUGUGUGUUGAACUGAAUUACUGUGUACUAAUGUCUUCCCUGAGUGUCCUAGAGAGCUGAUCUCAGAGUCAGGAAGUCCUGGGUUCAGGAGGUGCCUUUGAUACUGACUGUGUAGUCCUGGGCAAGUCACUUAACCAUUUAGUGUCCCAAGUGAUUCUCUAAGACUAUAUAAAUUGCCAAGAAGGUUCCAGCCUACAUUUGUAGAGGAAGUCCUUCAUGAGGAGCUCCCUUCAUCAAGGAAAUCUUUAGCCCCAAGUGCUCCCCAUGGGCCAAUUGCUCUGUUGGGUUGCCAAUAGAGAGAAAAGAGGAAAAAAGAAAGUGAUAUUCUUGUUAUCUUCUUGUCACUUUGCAAAUGAAAAGAGGCAGUAAAAGUCAAGUCAGAACUUUUGGCUGGAAGAGGAAGGGGUAA